GGCCGGUAUGAAUGGCGUUACGAAGGCCCCACUGUCUUAAGAGGACUCUCCAUGAAAUUGAAUUCGUAGUGAAGAUGCUACGUCCAUAUUGUAAGACGAAAAGACCCCAUUGAGCUUUACUAAAGACUUGCAUGGCUCAAAAUAAUUUGAUUUAAAUAAAAAGUUUAGAUAAUGUGGGACCCGUUUCCGGUUAAUGAAACACCACUCUUUUAUUUUAAGAGAGCUAACAUUACAGGGAUAGUGUAAGUUGGAUAGUUUGGUUGGGGCGACCACCUUUUAAAAGGUAACGAAGGUGAGCUUAAGGUCCGUAGUUAAUAGCCGGUGGCCUGACUGCAAGGGGGACGUCUCGAGCAGACACGUCCUUAGGGAUGUGGACUAUAGUGACCCGUCAUC
rnacentral:rRNA from 2 species